AUGAAAGCAUUUUUUGGCUUGCUCAUUUCGCUGUUUUGUAUAUCAGGGGGUCACUGUGAUGUGCAACUUGCCCAGUCAGACCCAGUGGUGAUUAAGCCGGGAGGGUCUCAUACACUUUCCUGCACAGGCUCUGGGUUCACAUUCAGUAGCUAUGAGAUGCACUGGGUUAGACAGGCUCCUGGGAAAGGAUUACAGUGGGUGUCUUUUAUUAGUUCCCCAAGUGGAACUACUAAAUAUUAUGCUGACUCAGUGAAAGGGAGAUUCACCAUCUCAAGAGACAAUAAAAAUAAUAAGGCCAUGUCACAUCUCGAGAUGAAUAACCUACAACCAGAAGACACAGCUGUAUAUUAUUGUGCAAGAGACACAGUGACAAACAGUCUCACAGCUGUGCUGCAAAAACCUUUACUUGUACUUUCACAGCCCGACACUGUGGGGCAAUAA